rnacentral:rRNA from 1 species
UGGGGAAUUUUGGACAAUGGGCGCAAGCCUGAUCCAGCCAUGCCGCGUGCGGGAAGAAGGCCUUCGGGUUGUAAACCGCUUUUGUCAGGGAAGAAAUCUUCUGAGUUAAUACCUCGGGAGGAUGACGGUACCUGAAGAAUAAGCACCGGCUAACUACGUGCCAGCAGCCGCGGUAAUACGUAGGGUGCAAGCGUUAAUCGGAAUUACUGGGCGUAAAGCGUGCGCAGGCGGUUUUGUAAGACAGAGGUGAAAUCCCCGGGCUCAACCUGGGAACUGCCUUUGUGACUGCAAGGCUUGAGUGCGGCAGAGGGGGAUGGAAUUCCGCGUGUAGCAGUGAAAUGCGUAGAUAUGCGGAGGAACACCGAUGGCGAAGGCAAUCCCCUGGGCCUGCACUGACGCUCAUGCACGAAAGCGUGGGGAGCAAACAGGAUUAGAUACCCUGGUAGUCCACGCCCUAAACGAUGUCAACUGGUUGUUGGGAAGGUUCCUUCUCAGUAACGUAGCUAACGCGUGAAGUUGACCGCCUGGGGAGUACGGCCGCAAGGUUGAAACUCAAAUGAAUUGACGGGGUCAUAGC